UAAAACAUGUGUUUCAAAAGACAUGGCAGGUGGUCAAUUUUUUUGGAUAAAUUAUUAUUUCAACAGCCUCCCUUAAUUAAUCAAAAAUUACCUAUACCAAGCAUUGACUUCAGAUUCUCGAACAAUUCUGCUCUCAGCGGUUUUGUAAGGAUAUCCGCUAUUUGAUCUUCAGAUCUGCAGAACUCAAGUUCAAUUUCACCAUCCUUAACAAGAUCC
rnacentral:lncRNA from 1 species